UAGGGAAUCUUCCACAAUGGGCGAAAGCCUGAUGGAGCAACGCCGCGUGUGUGAUGAAGGGUUUCGGCUCGUAAAACACUGUUGUAAGGGAAGAAUGACAUUGAGAGUAACUGUUCAAUGUGUGACGGUAUCUUACCAGAAAGGAACGGCUAAAUACGUGUCAG
rnacentral:rRNA from 1 species